CUGGGCUUCUUGGCCCAUGACCACAUCUACAAGAAGCAGCACCGAGAUUAGGGUUCAGACGCAUCAGAAACCCUGUAGCUUUCUUCUGGAGACGUCGCGGCCAUCGUUCUGGUAUCACAGUAGCAGCAUUUCCCAUCGAUCAUGAGGGCCAAGUGGAAGAAGAAGCGCAUGAGGAGGCUGAAGAGGAAGCGCCGAAAGAUGAGGCAGAGAUCCAAGUAGCCGCCUUUUGCUCCGUCGUCCGCAUCGCCGCCUUCUCAUGGGGUGAGCUAACCCAUGUGAGGUUGUUUUGUAGACUGGAGGUUGCUCGUGAGGGUUUAUUACUCUGAAUUUCGGUUUUAGUAGUUUCGGGAUUCUAACUAUGUGGAUGUUAAUGUUCUUAUGACUGGUUUAACUCUGCUUCUAAUUACAUAAUUAAGUAUCGAUUUGGUUAAAUUGCAAUGGCUUCUACUUGCUUUGA